rnacentral:lncRNA from 1 species
GAGUUGGGGGUCUGAAGUAGUUGGAUAUGGUUAGUGGGGAGGAUAUUAUGGGAUGUGGUUGUUAGUGGGGAGUUGAGAUGUUGAUCAAAAAUCAAUUUAUUAUCUUUUUAUUGUAUUUUUUUCAAAUUUUUCUCUCUUCCCAAAAGUCUGACGUUAGUUUUCUUUUUUCUCUGCCAUAUUUUUUUCUCUUCUUUUAAAGUCUGACGUUAGUUUUCUUUUUUCUC